rnacentral:lncRNA from 1 species
GGGUGAGUCGGCCUCGCCAGUGCGCAUGCGCGAGGCCCGAGCCGCCGCUUUGGUCACAGUGACCGCCACCAUUGCCCGGGGAUGGGUCCUUGAGACUUGGCGAAGUAGGAGCCCUGUGUGAUCGUGCGUCAGAGUCGGGGCUGAGACCAGCCCUGGCCAGGGCAGUUACCAGGACGGUCUCCGGAGGCCGGGAUUCGCGGAGGGUCCACCAGCAGGAAGAAACCCCAGGAGGAAGAAAACUCAGACAGAUCGCCGGGGAGGCAGCGCGGGAUCCCAGCCUCAGGCGUGCGCGGACGGUGUGCGGGUCCAGCUAUGCAUCACCCCUUCGCUGAUGAGCAUUAAGAAAA